AGUGAACGCUGGCGGCAGGCCUAACACAUGCAAGUCGAGCGGCAGCGCGGGGGCAACCCUGGCGGCGAGCGGCGGACGGGUGAGGAAUUCGUCGGAAUCUGCCUUUUUGUGGGGGAUAACGUAGGGAAACUUACGCUAAUACCGCAUACGUCCUACGGGAGAAAGUGGGGGACCGCAAGGCCUCACGCAGAAAGAUGAGCCGACGACCGAUUAGCUAGUUGGUGGGGUAAAGGCCCACCAAGGCGACGAUCGGUAGCUGGUCUGAGAGGAUGAUCAGCCACACUGGGACUGAGACACGGCCCAGACUCCUACGGGAGGCAGCAGUGGGGAAUAUUGGACAAUGGGCGCAAGCCUGAUCCAGCCAUGCCGCGUGUGUGAAGAAGGCCUUCGGGUUGUAAAGCACUUUUGUCCGGAAAGAAAUCCCUGGAGCUAAUACCUUCGGGGGAUGACGGUACCGGAAGAAUAAUCACCGGCUAACUUCGUG
rnacentral:rRNA from 1 species